AUAGAGGCCUACCAUGGUGGUAACGGGUAACGGGGUGUUAGGGCACGACACCGGAGAGGGAGCCUGAGAAACGGCUACCACAUCCAAGGAUGGCAGCAGGCGCGCAAAUUACCCAAUCCCGACACGGGGAGGUAGUGACAAUAAAUAACAAUACGGGGUUCUUUCGGAUCUCGUAAUUGGAAUGAGUACAAUUUAAAUCUCUUAACGAGGAACAAUUGGAGGGCAAGUCUGGUGCCAGCAGCCGCGGUAAUUCCAGCUCCAAUAGCGUAUAUUAAGUUGUUGCAGUUAAAAAGCUCGUAGUUGAAUUUCGGGGUUAGUAGGUUGGUCAUGCCUCUGGUAUGUACUGGUCUCACUGAUUCCUCCUUCCUUAUGAACCGUAAUGCCAUUAAUUUGGUGUUGCGGGGAAUUUGGACUGUUACUUUGAAAAAAUUAGAGUGUUUAAAGCAAGCUAACGCUUGAAUACAUUAGCAUGGAAUAAUGAAAUAGGACGUUCGAUCUUAUUUUGUUGGUUUCUAGGAUUGACGUAAUGAUUAAUAGGGAUAGUUGGGGGCAUUAGUAUUCAAUUGUCAGAGGUGAAAUUCUUGGAUUUAUUGAAGACUAACUACUGCGAAAGCAUUUGCCAAGGAUGUUUUCAUUAAUCAAGAACGAAAGUUAGGGGAUCGAAGACGAUCAGAUACCGUCGUAGUCUUAACCAUAAACUAUGCCGACUAGG
rnacentral:rRNA from 1 species